UCCGGGUUGAUCCCGGCGGUCUCGCCAGAAAAGGUAACUGGCGACGAGGGUUGCGCUCGUUGCGGGACUUAACCCAACACCUCACGGCACGAGCUGACGACAGCCAUGCACCACCUGUGCAGGCUCCGAAGAGCGCCGUCUUUCAACGGUUUCACCCUGCAUGUCAAACCCAGGUAAGGUUCUUCGCGUUGCAUCGAGUUAAACCACAUGCUCCGCUGCUUGUGCGGGGCCCCGUCAAUUCCUUUGAGUUUUAGCCUUGCGGCCGUACUCCCCAGGCGGGGCACUUAAUGCGUUAGCUCCGGCACGGGAGGAGUCGACACCUCCCACACCUAGUGCCCAUCGUUUACGGCGUGGACUAC
rnacentral:misc_RNA from 1 species